rnacentral:rRNA from 1 species
UGACGAGUGGCGAACGGGUGAGUAAUAUAUCGGAACGUGCCCUAGAGUGGGGGAUAACUAGUCGAAAGAUUAGCUAAUACCGCAUACGAUCUACGGAUGAAAGUGGGGGAUCGCAAGACCUCAUGCUCAUGGAGCGGCCGAUAUCUGAUUAGCUAGUUGGUAGGGUAAAAGCCUACCAAGGCAUCGAUCAGUAGCUGGUCUGAGAGGACGACCAGCCACACUGGGACUGAGACACGGCCCAGACUCCUACGGGAGGCAGCAGUGGGGAAUUUUGGACAAUGGGCGCAAGCCUGAUCCAGCAAUGCCGCGUGAGUGAAGAAGGCCUUCGGGUUGUAAAGCUCUUUUGUCAGGGAAGAAACGGACUGGGUUAAUACCUUGGUCUAAUGACGGUACCUGAAGAAUAAGCACCGGCUAACUACGUGCC